rnacentral:rRNA from 1 species
GUGGGGAAUCUUAGACAAUGGGGGAAACCCUGAUCUAGCCAUGCCGCGUGAGCGAUGAAGGCCUUAGGGUUGUAAAGCUCUUUCAGAGGGGAAGAUAAUGACGGUACCCUCAGAAGAAGCCCCGGCUAACUCCGUGCCAGCAGCCGCGGUAAUACGGAGGGGGCUAGCGUUGUUCGGAAUUACUGGGCGUAAAGCGCACGUAGGCGGCCCAGCAAGUCAGGGGUGAAAUCCCGGGGCUCAACCCCGGAACUGCAUUUGAAACUCCUGGUCUUGAGGUCGAGAGAGGUGAGUGGAAUUCCGAGUGUAGAGGUGAAAUUCGUAGAUAUUCGGAGGAACACCAGUGGCGAAGGCGGCUCACUGGCUCGAUACUGAAGCUGAGGUGCGAAAGCGUGGGGAGCAAACAGGAUUAGAUACCCUUGUAGUCC